UACAGAGGGUGCGAGCGUUAAUCGGAAUUACUGGGCGUAAAGCGCACGUAGGCGGCUUUGUAAGUCACUUGUGAAAUCUCCGGGCUUAACUCGGAACGGCCAAGUGAUACUGCAAUGCUAAAGUGCGGAAGGGGCAAUCGGAAUUCUUGGUGUAGCGGUGAAAUGCGUAGAUAUCAAGAGGAACACCUGAGGUGAAGACGGGUUGCUGGGCCGACACUGACGCUGAUGCGCGAAAGCCAGGGGAGCAAACGGG
rnacentral:rRNA from 1 species